AUUUGGCUGGCUCAGUCAGUAGAGCAUGAGACUCUUGAUCUCAGAGUUGUGAGUUCAAGCCCCAUGUUGGGCA
rnacentral:tRNA from 1 species